ACGCUCGACACCUACGGGAGGCAGCAGUGGGGAAUAUUGCACAAUGGGGGAAACCCUGAUGCAGCGACGCCGCGUGAGCGAAGAAGUAUUUCGGUAUGUAAAGCUCUAUCAGCAGGGAAGAAAGUGACGGUACCUGACUAAGAAGCCCCGGCUAACUACGUGUCAGCAGCCGCGGUAAUCUGAGCGGGCUGGCAAGGC
rnacentral:rRNA from 1 species